GCGCCAGUAGCUCAGCUGGAUAGAGUACCUGGCUACGAACCAGGCGGUCGGAGGUUCGAAUCCUCCCUGGCGCACCA
rnacentral:tRNA from 1 species